UACGGAGGAUCCGAGCGUUAUCCGGAUUUAUUGGGUUUAAAGGGUGCGCAGGCGGGAGAUUAAGUCGGCGGUGAAAUUUUGCAGCUCAACUGUAAAAGUGCCUUCGAAACUGGUUUCCUUGAGUGUAGAUGAAGUAGGCGGAAUUUGUGGUGUAGCGGUGAAAUGCUUAGAUAUCACGAGGAACUCCGAUUGCGCAGGCAGCUUACUAAACUACUACUGACGCUCAGGCACGAAGGCGUGGGGAUCAAACAGGAUUAGAUACCCCUGUAGUCCCU
rnacentral:rRNA from 1 species